rnacentral:rRNA from 1 species
UCCGUAGGUGAACCUGCGGAAGGAUCAUUACUGAGUUGUUGACACGAGCUGUUGCUGGUCCUCAAAACGAGGGGGCAUGUGCACGCUCUGUUCACACAUCCACUCACACCUGUGCACCCACCGUAGUUCUACGGUCUGGAGGACUCGCCGUCCUCUUCCCGUGGUUCUACGUCUUUACACAUACACCGUAGUGAAGUCUUAUGGAAUGCACGCCGCGUUUAACGCAAUACAAUACAACUUUCAGCAACGGAUCUCUUGGCUCUCGCAUCGAUGAAGAACGCAGCGAAAUGCGAUAAGUAAUGUGAAUUGCAGAAUUCAGUGAAUCAUCGAAUCUUUGAACGCACCUUGCGCCUCUUGGCUAUUCCGAGGGGCAUGCCUGUUUGAGUAUCAUGAACACCUCAACUCUCACGGUUUGCCCGUGAUGAGCUUGGACUUCUGGAGGUUUUGCUGGCCUGCGGUCGGCUCCUCUCAAAUCGAUCAGCUUACCAGUGUUUGGUGGCGUCAUGGGUGUGAUAACUAUCUACGCUUGUGGCCGUCCGCCAGGUAACCUUCAGCGAUGGAGGUUCGCUGGCGCUUACAAACGUCUCUCCCGAGCGAAGACGACUUUUUGAGCGUUCGAUCUCAAAUCAGGUAGGACUACCCGCUGAACUUAAGCAUAUCAAUAAGCGGAGGA